rnacentral:rRNA from 1 species
CGUGUAGGCGGCUAUCUAAGUCUGAUGUGAAAGCCCUGGGCUCAACCCAGGAAGUGCACUGGAUACUGGAUAGCUGGAGUACCGGAGAGGAGGGUGGAAUUCCUGGUGUAGCGGUGAAAUGCGUAGAUAUCAGGAGGAACACCGGUGGCGAAGGCGUCCCUCUGGCCGGAUACUGACGCUGAGACGCGAAAGCGUGGGGAGCAAACAGGAUUAGAUACCCUGGUAGUCCACGCCAUAAACGAUGGGUACUAGGUGUUCGGGGUAUUGACCCCCUGAGUGCCGCAGCUAACGCAUUAAGUACCCCGCCUGGGGAAUACGGCCGCAAGGUUAAA